GAUCCUGCGCCGAAGAUUUCCGGGGCUAAAACUUACUACCGAAGCUACGGCAUCAUUAUGAUGGGUAGGGGAGCUUCCCAUACGGGUUGAAGCAUGACUGUAAGGACAUGUGGACAGUAUGGGAGUGGGAAUGUUGGCAUGAGUAGCGAGAUGUGGGUGAGAAUCCCACAGGCCGUAAACCCAAGGUUUCCAGGGGAAGGUUCGUCCGCCCUGGGUUAGUCGGGAC
rnacentral:rRNA from 1 species